rnacentral:lncRNA from 8 species
CUUCCAGCUUAUAGAAUACUAUAUACAUUUUACGGACACAGUAUAUUUUACAAUAGUUAUCUUUUGUUUGUUUUUAGUCCAAUUCUUCAGCUCCACUCAACCCCUUCCAUCUAGCUCUGAACACGAUCCAGUUUUGAUUUCUAUUUGCCAUAUAUUUUUCAACUGUGCUGUGAUGUUUCACAAAAGUUAAGCAUCUCGGCUAACAUUACUAUUUUUAUUUUCCUGUCACACAAACGUCUAAUACUUCCUCUGUGCAUCGGACAAUGCAGCUCAACCACUGUAAAUACACCUCUAUGCGCCGUGAAUAUUAUGUUAGGGGGCGUGUACUUCCAGGUAUGAACAAAACAACAAUUUUAAACGUUUUGUUUUUAUUUUUUUUCUGGUACUCUAUGCCCAAUUUGGGAACCAUAAACGAGAAUGUUUUACUUUUGAUGACAUGUGGCACUUUUGUAUGAUGUUGGCCAUGUGGGGACAAAUUCAUUCAGUUUAGAGACUAGUGAUUAAGCCUCGUAUAUAUUUGAAAAAAAGUAGGCCUCGUUUGUUGUUUAUCGAAAGUGAAAGUAUUCACAAUUGUUAACUGCGUAGUUGGAGAGGAGCAAGCAGCAAGGUAAGGACUAGCUGAGUCUAUAAUAUUUAAAGCAAAGUCAUGUAAAAUGAAAAACCAUAUUACAACAUUAGUAUAACAUAACACAAGUUAUAACUUUAACAUGAUGGGUGCACAAAUUGCUUAAUUGCACAAUGUUUAGCCUACUUAGUCAUCAACCUUGACUAUCUCAACUUGUUUUAAUUUCCACAACAAUAUGUUAUUUAUCGUAGCCCACCUCGUCUGCACAGCCUAAAAUGAGCAUCCAUGGAGAUAGACAGAAGGGAGGCACGACCUCCAAAGUGAGUCUCUUUGAGAAACCUGAGAAAGAAGCCCAAUGCACAAUCCAGGCAAAGAGACCACAUUCACCUGCACCCACCUGUGUGUCCAUGAAGAGUGACUGGUCAAUGGAUGCUCCAAUAGACCUCCGCAAAGGAGACUUUUAUAACAAACAAAGGUAACAAAGAACAUACAUUAACAUUUUCCAAUAUUUGAAAACAUUAAAGUGCAUUAUCAGUGGAACAAUUAUUUUUCUAAAUGAAACUCAGAGUAAAUGUGAUUGUGUGCUUUGGACAGGGUCCAGCAGGAGAGGUUAGUCUCACAUGAACCCAGCAUUGUGUCGUUUAAAGGGAUAGUUUGGGAUUUUGGCAAUGAGGCCAUUUUGGCAAUUUUCACACCCCUUUAUUUUUUCCAUAUUUUGUUGUGUUACAGCCUGAAUUUAAAACAGAUUCAAUUUAGAUUUUGUGUCACUGGCACACACACAAUACCCCAUAAUGUCAAAGUGGAAUUAUGUUUUUAGAAAAUGUUACAAAUUCAUUAUAAAUGUAAAGCUGAAAUGUCUUGAGUCAAUAAGUAUUCAACCACUUUGUUAUGGCAAGCUUAAAUAAGUUCAGGAGAAAAUAUGUGCUUAACAAGUCACAUAAUAAGUUGCAUGGACUCACUUUGUGUGCAACAAUGGUGUUUAACAUGAUUUUUGAAUGACUACCUCAUCUUUGUACCCCACACAUACAAUUAUCUGUAAGGUCCCUCAGUCAAGCAGUGAAUUUCAAACACAGAUUCAACUACAAAGACCAGGGAGGUUUCCAAUGCCUCACCAAGAAGGGCACAUAUUGGUAGAUGGGUAAAGAAAAAAAAGCAGACCAUGAAUAUUCAAUUGAGCAUGGUGAAGAUAGUUUUCUCCUGAGGAUGGAUCAACAACAUUGUAGUUACUCCACUAUACUAACCUAAAUAUGAUGGUGGCUGCAUUAUGUUAUGGGUAUGCUUGUCAUCGGCAAGGACUGGACGGUUUUUUAGGAUAAAAAUAAACAGAAUAGAGUUAAGUACAUGAAAAAUCCUAGAAGAAAACCUGGUUCAGUCUGCUUUCCAACAGACACUGAGACAAAUUCACCUUUCAGCAGGACAAUAACCUUAAACACAAGAGUUGCUUACCAAGACAACGUUGAAUGUUCCUGAGUGGCCUAAUUACAGUUUUUAUUUAACUUUUUAAGGUAUAGGGGGCAGUAUUUUCAUUUUCGGAUGAAAAGCGUGCCCAGAGUAAACUGCCUAAUACUCGGGCCCAGAGUCAAAUAUUUGCAUAUUAUUAGUAGAUUUGGAUAGAAAACACUCUGAAGUCUCUAAAACUGUUUGAAUGAUGUCUGUGAGUAUAACAGAACUCAUAUGGUAGGCAAAAACCAGAGAAAAAUCCAACCAGGAAGUACGUAAUAUGAGAAUUGUAGUUCUUCUAUUGAAUCCCUAUCGAAACUACAGUGUCUGUGGGGUCACGUUGCACUUCCUAAGGCUUCCUUUGGCUGUCAACAGCCUUUAGAAAAGUGUUUCAUCCUUCUCCUGUUACUGGGCAGAAAAUAGGAGCUCAGUCAAUGAGUGGACUGCCUGGGACCAGUGAGUUGUUUAAUGCGCAGGCACGUUUGGCGCACCGCUCCUUCUUUUUCCUCUGUAAUGAAUUCGCUAUUGUCCGGUUGGAAUAUUAUCUACAUUUUAUGUUAAAAAGACCCUAAGGAUUGAUUGUAAACAACGUUUGACAUGUUUCUACGAACAGUAAUGGAACUAUUUGACUUUUAGAGUCUGGAUUUACGCUUGCACGUUAUGCCUUUGGAUAGUGAUCUGAACGCACGAACAAAACGGAGGUAUUUGGACAUAAAUAUGGAGUAUUUCGAACAAAAAUAACAUUUCUUGUGGAAGUAGGAGUCCUGGGAGUGCAUUCUGACGAAGAUCAGCAAGGGUAAGAGAAUAUUUAUAAUACUAAUUCUGAGUUUAGUUGACCCCAGAACUUGGCGGGUAUCUGUAUAGCUUGCUUUCAUAGCUGAGCUAUGUACUCAGAAUAUUGAAAAAUGUGCUUUCUCCGUAAAGCUAUUUUAAAAUCUGACACAGCGGUUGCAUUAACGUGUUGGGGCUAGGGGGUAGUAUUUGCACGGCCGGAUAAAAAAAUGUACCCGAUUUAAACUGGUUACUACUCUUGCCCAGAAACGAGAAUAUGCAUAUAAUUAGUAGAUUUGGAUAGAAAACACUCUAAAGUUUCUAAAACUGUUUGAAUGGUGUCUGUGAGUAUAACAGAACUCAUAUGGCAGGCCAAAACCUGAGAAGAUUCCAUACAGGAAGUGCCCUGUCUGACAAUUUGUUCUCCUUCUGUGGCAUCUCUAUCGAAAAUACAGCAUCUCUGCUGUAAUGUUUUGUAACGCUUCCAUUGACUCUCAGAAGGCGCCAGAAAGUGGAAUGACGUAUCUCCUGUCUCUGGGCGAAAAACAGCAGGAGAUUUUGUGAGUGGUCAGGCUGAGAACAGUGACACUGGAGAUGCACGUUCAUGUGAAUUCUCAAUUUUUUUCUUUCAGCCUUUGAAUGAAUACAACGUCGCCCAGUUGGUAUAUUAUCGCUAUUUUACGAGAAAAAUAGCAUAAAAAUUGAUUUUAAACAGCGUUUGACAUGCUUCGAAGUACGGUAAUGGAAUAUUUUGUAAUUUUUUGUCACGAAAUGCGCUCGCGCGUCACCCUUCGGAUACUGACCUGAACGCACGAACAAAACGGAGGUAUUUGAAUAUAACUAUGGAUUAUUUGGAACCAAAACAACAUUUGUUGUUGAAGUAGAAGUCCUGGGAGUGCAUUCUGACGAAGAACAGCAAAGGUAAUCCAAAUUUUCUUAUAGUAAAUCUGAGUUUGGUGAGGGCCAAACUUGGUGGGUGUCAAAUUAGCUAGCCGUGAUGGCCGGGCUAUGUACUCAGAAUAUUGCAAAAUGUGCUUUCGCCGAAAAGCUAUUUUAAAAUCUGACACCGCAAUUGCAUAAAGGAGUUCUGUAUCUAUAAUUCUUAAAAUAAUUGUUAUGUAUUUUGUGAACGUUAAUCGUGAGUAAUUUAGUAAAUUCACCGGAAGUUUGCGGUGGGUAUGCUAGUUCUGAACGUCACAUGCUAAUGUAAAAAGCUGGUUUUUGAUAUAAAUAUGAACUUGAUUGAACAAAACAUGCAUGUAUUGUAUAACAUAAUGUCCUAGGAGUGUCAUCUGAUGAAGAUCAUCAAAGGUUAGUGCUGCAUUAAGCUGUGGUUUUGGUUUUUGUGACAUAUAUGCUUGCUUUGAAAAUGGCUGUGUGAUUAUUUUAGGCAGGGUACUCUCCUGACAUAAUCUAAUGUUUUGCUUUCGCUGUAAAGCCUUUUUAAAAUCAGAUAAUGUGGUUAGAUUAACGAGAGUCUUGUCUUUAAAAUUGUGUAAAAUAGUCAUAAGUUUGAGAAAUUGAAGUUAUAGCAUUUUUGAGGUAUUUGUAUUUCACGCCACGCGAUUCCACUGGCGUCCCACCUUGCCCAGGGAGGUUAAGGAGAAGUAUAUCUAUAAUUCUUUCAAUAACUGUUAUAAAUUUUAUCAGCGUUUAUGAUGAGUAUUUUUGUAAAUUGAUGUGCUCAUUCACCGGAAGUUUUGGUGGGAAUACAUUUUCUGAACAUCACGCGCCAAUGUAAAAUUGGGUUUUUGGAUAUAAAUAUGAACUUUAUCGAGCAAAACAUACAUGUAUUGUGUAACAUUAAGUCCUAUGAGUGCCAUCUGAUGAAGAUCAUCAAAGGUUAGUGAAUAUUUUAGCUGUAUUUUUGGUUUUUGUGAUGCAUGUCCUUGCUUGGAAAAUGGCUGUGUGGUUUUUUCUUGUGAAGUUUAUGUCCUAACAUAAUCUAAUUUUAUGCUUUCGCCGUAAAGCCUUUUUGAAAUCGGACAAUGUGGUUAUAUUAACGAGAAGUUUAUCUUUAAAAUGGUGUAAAAUAGUUGAUUGUUUGAGAAAAUGAAAUUCUGAGAUUUUUGCUGUUUUGUUUUUCAUGCCAUGCUAUUUCACUGGCUGUUGAAUAGUGUGUCUCGCAGGUGGGACGCUAGCGUCCCACGUAGCCCAUAGAAGUUAAAUCGUCUUGAAAAUGUAUGGUAAGACUUGAAAAUGGCUGUCGAGCAAUGAUCAACAACCAACUUGACAGAGCUUCAACAAUGUUUUAAAGAAUAAUGUGCAAAAAUUGUACAAUGUCUGUAGAUGGGUGAGAACCCUCCCCCUCAAUGUAAUCCAUUUCGAAUUCAGCUGUAACACAACAAAAUGUGGACUAAGUCAAGGGGUUUGAAUUCUUUCUGAAGGCAUUGUACUUCCCCAGCGAGGUCGAGUCAUGCGAAGGUCGAGUCAUGCGUCCUCCGAAACAUGACCUGUCAAACCGCACUCCUUAACACCCGCUCGCUUAACCCGGAAGCCAGCUGCACCAGUGUGUCGGAGGAAAACCGUUCAACUGACAACCGAAGUCAGCCUGCAGGCACCCGGCCCACCACAAGGAGUCGCUAGAGUGUGAUGAGCCAAGUGAAGCCCACCCAGCCAAACCCUCCCCUAACCCUAACAACGUUGGGCCAAUUGUGCGCCGCCCCCAAAGGGACUCCCGGUCAUGGCCGGUUAUGACACAGCCUGGGAUUGAACCCGGGUCUGUAGUGUGAUGCAGUGCCUUAGACCGCUGUGCCACUCGGGAGGCCCCUCAGUGAAUUUCAUUUAAAAAAAGUAAAACAUUUAAAAGUUUGCCUUUUUAGAUC